rnacentral:rRNA from 1 species
AUGGCGGCGUCGGCGGCGGCGGUGAUGGAGGAGCUGCGGGGUAGCUUCAGAGAGGGGCGGACGCGGCCGGCCGAGUGGCGGACGGCGCAGCUCAGGGCGCUCGUCAGGAUGAUCGAGGAGAAGGAGGACGACAUCAGCAACGCGCUCCACGCCGACCUCGCCAAGCCGCGCAUGGAGGCCUACCUCCACGAGAUAUCGCUGGCGAAAGGGGCCUGUAUGUUUGCCUUGAAGGGGCUCAAGAAUUGGAUGAAGCCCGACAAGGUACCUUCUGCCAUAACUACAUUCCCAUCCACUGCUCAAAUCGUGCCGGAGCCCCUGGGUGUCGUUCUCGUCAUAUCAGCCUGGAACUAUCCUUUCUUGCUAUCCAUCGAGCCCGUCAUUGGAGCAAUUGCUGCUGGGAAUGCUGUUGUGCUGAAGCCAUCAGAAAUUGCGCCAGCAACAUCGUCAUUGUUCGCGAAGCUGCUACCAGAGUACGUUGAUAGCUCGUGUAUAAAAGUUGUGGAGGGAGGUGUCACUGAAACAGGUGCACUCUUAGAACAAAAAUGGGAUAAGAUCUUCUACACAGGAAAUGGUAAUGUAGCCCGCGUAGUGUUGGCAGCAGCUGCGAAGCAUCUAACCCCUGUUGCUCUGGAGCUCGGUGGAAAAUGCCCUGUUAUUGUUGACUCUAACGUCGAUUUGCAUGUUGCUGCUAAGAGGAUUGCUGUUGGUAAAUGGGGCUGUAACAAUGGCCAGGCAUGCAUUGCUCCCGAUUACAUCAUAACGACAAAAGCGUUCGUUACAGAGCUGGUUGACUCUUUGAAAAGAGUCUUGGAAAGGUUCUACGGGGAGGAUCCGUUGCAAUCGGCGGACCUGUCUCGUAUUGUGAAUAUUAGCCAUUUCGGACGAUUAACGAAGUUGAUAGACGACAAAGAAGUUGCCACCAAGAUUCAGCUCGGUGGCCAGACAGAUCAGGAGCAACUAAAAAUAGCUCCUACGGUGUUGGUAGAUGUUCCUCUUGAUACAGCACUUAUGACAGGGGAAAUAUUUGGCCCAUUGCUUCCAAUUAUAACGGUCGACAAGAUUGAAGAAAGCAUCGCACACAUCAACGCUGGGGCGAAGCCACUCGCAGCCUACCUCUUCACCAAGGACAAGAAACUGCAACAAGAUUUCGUCUCAAACGUCUCGGCAGGAGGCAUGCUCGUCAACGACGUCGCCUUACACCUGACGAACCCACAUUUGCCGUUCGGUGGCGUGGGCGACAGCGGCAUGGGGUCGUACCACGGCAAGUUCAGCUUCGACUGCUUCACCCACAGAAAGGCGGUGCUGAUCCGCGGGUUCGGUGGCGAGGCGAAUGCAAGGUACCCGCCCUACACAGCAGAGAAGCAGAGGAUCUUGAGGGGCCUCAUCAAGGGCAGCUUCUUUGCGCUGAUCCUUGCGCUUCUGGGGUUCCCGAGGGAGAAGCGUUAG